rnacentral:rRNA from 1 species
GACGAACCGUGCGAACGUUGUUCGGAAUCACUGGGCUUAAAGGGCGCGUAGGCGGGUCAGCAAGUCCGGGGUGAAAUCUUUCGGCUUAACCGGAAAAGGGCCUUGGAGACUGCUGGUCUUGAGGGAGGUAGGGGCAUGUGGAACUUCCGGUGGAGCGGUGAAAUGCGUAGAUAUCGGGAGGAACACCUGUGGCGAAAGCGGCUCACUGGACCACAACUGACGCUGAUGCGCGAAAGCUAGGGGAGCAAACAGGG